rnacentral:rRNA from 1 species
AUGCAGUCGAACGAACUCUGGUAUUGAUUGGUGCUUGCAUCAUGAUUUACAUUUGAGUGAGUGGCGAACUGGUGAGUAACACGUGGGAAACCUGCCCAGAAGCGGGGGAUAACACCUGGAAACAGAUGCUAAUACCGCAUAACAACUUGGACCGCAUGGUCCGAGUUUGAAAGAUGGCUUCGGCUAUCACUUUUGGAUGGUCCCGCGGCGUAUUAGCUAGAUGGUGGGGUAACGGCUCACCAUGGCAAUGAUACGUAGCCGACCUGAGAGGGUAAUCGGCCACAUUGGGACUGAGACACGGCCCAAACUCCUACGGGAGGCAGCAGUAGGGAAUCUUCCACAAUGGACGAAAGUCUGAUGGAGCAACGCCGCGUGAGUGAAGAAGGGUUUCGGCUCGUAAAACUCUGUUGUUAAAGAAGAACAUAUCUGAGAGUAACUGUUCAGGUAUUGACGGUAUUUAACCAGAAAGCCACGGCUAACUACGUGCCAGCAGCCGCGGUAAUACGUAGGUGGCAAGCGUUGUCCGGAUUUAUUGGGCGUAAAGCGAGCGCAGGCGGUUUUUUAAGUCUGAUGUGAAAGCCUUCGGCUCAACCGAAGAAGUGCAUCGGAAACUGGGAAACUUGAGUGCAGAAGAGGACAGUGGAACUCCAUGUGUAGCGGUGAAAUGCGUAGAUAUAUGGAAGAACACCAGUGGCGAAGGCGGCUGUCUGGUCUGUAACUGACGCUGAGGCUCGAAAGUAUGGGUAGCAAACAGGAUUAGAUACCCUGGUAGUCCAUACCGUAAACGAUGAAUGCUAAGUGUUGGAGGGUUUCCGCCCUUCAGUGCUGCA